rnacentral:rRNA from 1 species
GAUGAACGCUGGCGGCGUGCCUAAUACAUGCAAGUCGAGCGAACAGACGAGGAGCUUGCUCCUCUGACGUUAGCGGCGGACGGGUGAGUAACACGUGGAUAACCUACCCAUAAGACUGGGAUAACUUCGGGAAACCGGAGCUAAUACCGGAUAAUAUAUUGAACCGCAUGGUUCAAUAGUGAAAGACGGUUUUGCUGUCACUUAUAGAUGGAUCCGCACCGCAUUAGCUAGUUGGUAAGGUAACGGCUUACCAAGGCAACGAUGCGUAGCCGACCUGAGAGGGUGAUCGGCCACACUGGAACUGAGACACGGUCCAGACUCCUACGGGAGGCAGCAGUAGGGAAUCUUCCGCAAUGGGCGAAAGCUUGACGGAGCAACGCCGCGUGAGUGAUGAAGGUCUUCGGAUCGUAAAACUCUGUUAUUAGGGAAGAACAAAUGUGUAAGUAACUAUGCACGUCUUGACGGUACCUAAUCAGAAAGCCACGGCUAACUACGUG